AACUAUGCAUUGGCGAUCACUCUAUUCGCCUUUACUCAUGAUACAACAAUGCAUAACUAGAUUUUGUCGCAUAUGUGAAUGCGUCUUAAAUUAGUAUAGAGCAGACGACUUAUCGCCAUUUUACCCAAGUAUUUCAAGAAUAACGUAGGGAGUACGAAAUUAUAAAGAUGUUGACUGUAAGAUCAGCUUUACGAGGAUUCACCAGAUCCAUCAAAACUACUGCUGUAAACAAAAGUGAUCACGGGCCAGAAGGUUUUCCCGGUGCCAACUUACCUUUUAGCAUCAACAACAGAUACAAGUUAUGUGCAAUAUUUAUGGCUUUCUUUGGAAGUGGAUUUUCUGUUCCUUUCCUUGUUCUCCGGUACCACUUAACGAAGUAAUAUGUGUAUUACAGCAUUAACAUUAAUAAAUUAGUCUAAUACUGUUGCAAAACAUGUAAUAUGUAACAUAGAUUUAUAAUAAAAAUAUUGUAAAAUAAAGUUUUAUAAGUAUUUAAUAAAGUCAUAAUGUCAACAUUUUCAGAAAUGUUUUCACAUAGACAUUGACAUAAUUUAUCAUACAUAAUGAAUAUAAUAUAAUAUAGAAUAUAGAAGAUUUAUAAUACAGAAGAA